rfam:Felis catus isolate Cinnamon breed Abyssinian chromosome C2, whole genome shotgun sequence.
GCCUGGGUGGCUCUGUCGGUUAAGCCUCUGACUUCAGCUCAGGUCAUGAUCUCACGGAUCGUGGGUUCGAGCCCCACGUUGGGCU